rnacentral:rRNA from 1 species
GAUGAACGCUGGCGGCGUGCCUAACACAUGCAAGUCGAACGUGAGAGGGUAGCAAUAUCCUUGAAAGUGGCGAACGGGUGAGUAACACGUAGAUAACCUGCCUCGAAGAGGGGGAUAGCGACUGGAAACGGUCGCUAACACCGCAUGGUACCGGAUUAACGGGAGUUAAACUGGUGAAAACUCUGGUGCUUCGAGGGGGGUCUGCGGCCGAUUAGCUAGUUGGGGGGGUAAGAGCACACCAAGGCGACGAUCGGUAGCUGGUGUGAGAGGACGAUCAGCCACACGGGAACUGAGAAACGGUCCCGACUCCUACGGGGGGCAGCAGUGAGGAAUAUUGGGCAAUGGGCGGAAGCCUGACCCAGCAACGCCGCGUGGAGGAUUGAAGGCCUUCGGGUUGUAAACCUCUUUCACCAGGGACGAAGCGUGAGUGACGGUACCUGGAGAAGAAGCACCGGCCAACUACGUGCCAGCCGCCGCAGUAAAAC